UCCUGAGUCCUGAUCAACUGAGGGCUUCAAGGGGUGCGCAGGGCCCUGUAUUAAAAUGCCGCAUUAUGUUGUCAUUAGACGUUUCUUUUAUCCAUAUGUGCGGUGGAAUACGGUGGCCUGUUUGGGAAAGGGGCAUAGCGGGAGCAGGCGUUAUCAACUACCACAUCCCCUGGGGAUGCCCUGUUGGUUUUUAAGCUCCACAGAAGCUUCCAGGGUGAAAUCUGAAACUGGCCUCUGUACUCAGAGGGUGGGGAGAGACUGAAGAAGCCACUCCAUGUUGGCAGGUGGCAGUUUUCAUAAGCAGGAGAACUUACACAGGAGUUUCAUCUUGGGCAGCAUCAGGACAAGUGAAUCUCUGCACCCGCCAACCACAUCUUACAAGUUUAUACAGAGGUCUUAACCAGGUUCAGUCACCUGUACCAUCAAGGUGGCCUCAACACCAUCUCAGUAUCCCAAAACGAUCUCCUUGGAUCAUCCUCUGGGAGUGGGAAAGGCAAGCAGAACCCACAUUCCAAGGACAUGAGAGGGGAUGCGAAGCCUCCGAUUUCCCAGGUCCAGCUCACAGCACUUCCGGCAGCCGAAGGCGCAGCAUUUGUACAUGAUGAAGACAACGCCCAGUACAAUGGCCAGGAGGAAGCCGAUCACGUCCACAGAGUGGUACUGGUACCAGGUUCCAGAUAGUUGUCUGUAUCACGGAACAAAAGAUUAAAAUUGCAUUAUGAAUGUGAACCUCAGGAACGAGUUUUGUCAGCACGUGGAGAGAAGUCGGGGCUCCGUGGCGCCGAUGUGUGAGCAGCACAUCCCGACCCCAACAAGCUGGGUGGCCGGAAGGCGCCAUUCAGAAGAGAGGGAUGGCACCCACCGGGCACUCUGGGCAUUUACCCCUGGGUUAUGUGGGCUUUUCUUCUCCAUCCAUUGGCACCACACAUGGGGGCACCCCACCUCUCCCCCAUUUGUCCUUGCCCAGCCUCACUGUGUCACCCUGUGCAAUGUCUCCUCCCAUCUGAACACACUCCAGUUUUUCACAUCUGUCCUUCUAACUGAUGUCUUUUUCAAGAUGAAGCAACUAUGGGUGAAGACUCCACUCUCAUGGAGACACACACAUGCACACGUACUCAUACAUGCACAUGCACACACGCACUGUUAAUUGUUGGACGAAGUCCACCCUGGCUGUCACUUCUUCCCACGAGGUUUUGACCAAGCUGUUACUAGUGAACUUGACAUCAAUACAAUAAAUUCCACGCAGAGACCAUUUGAUCUGAUGGCUUUUGCCUCUUGAAUUCUUUCAGAGCCGUAUUUGAAUAAACUCACCUUUGCUUUAUCACAAGCCUUUGGGAUAUCACAUGACACCCCCCCCCCCCAUUUAUAAAUCCCCAUGAACAAAAUUUCUCACGGGUUUCAGUGCUAGGGAGAACUAUGGUUCUAAGCUCUUUGUUUUUAUCUUAUGGACACUAGGUUCAUUACGGAAUAUUUCUCUCUUUGUAGAAUCUCAUAGAGUAGACAUCUACUUGGUGACAAUAUUUUUUAACAAAUUGAAGUUUUAAGCCUACCAAGGGAAAUAAUAUUUAAAAUCAGUUUUGGGGCGGCUGGAUGGCUCAGUUAAAUGUCUGAUUCUUGAUCUUGAUCUCAGCUCAGAUCAUGAGCUCUAAGUUUGUGAGAUCAAGCCCCACAUCACGCUGUGCACUGACAGCCUGCUUGGGAUUCUCUCUCUCUACCCCUCCCCCACUCGUGCUCUCCCUCCCUUCCUCUCUCUCUCUCUCUCUCUCUCUGUCUCAAAAUAAAUAAAUAAACUUUAAAAAUUAAAAAAAAAAA